AGCGAACGCUGGCGGCAGGCCUAACACAUGCAAGUCGAGCGCCCUGCAAGGGGAGCGGCGGACGGGUGAGUAACGCGUGGGAAUUUUUCCUGGAGUACGGAACAACCGAGGGAAACUUCGGCUAAUACCGUAUGAUGCCGAGAGGCCAAAGAUUUAUCGCUCUGGGGUGAGCCCGCGUCAGAUUAGGUAGUUGGUGGGGUAAAGGCCUACCAAGCCUGCGAUCUGUAGCUGGUCUGAGAGGACGAUCAGCCACACUGGGACUGAGACACGGCCCAGACUCCUACGGGAGGCAGCAGUGGGGAAUCUUGCGCAAUGGGCGAAAGCCUGACGCAGCCAUGCCGCGUGAGUGAAGAAGGCC
rnacentral:rRNA from 1 species